rnacentral:rRNA from 1 species
CGAUAAACCCUUCCCUUUCCUUGUACUUCAGUUUGUAUACCUCCGUCUUAAGUUAAUCCUUCUAUAAAGGUAACAUAAUUAGCUAAAGAAAAUGGUUAUUACACCAUUUUCCUUAAGUCAGGUCAAGGUGCAGCUAACGGAAAGGUAUAAAUGAGCUACUUUAUCUACUUAAUCAAUAGCAUUAUUAAUAAAAAUUAAUAGUAAAAUAGUACUUGACAGUAAUUUAAGUUUACCACCCUUCAAUGAAACUCUAUUAGAAAGUGCACAAAUCGCCC